rfam:Asian citrus Psyllid, Diaphorina citri - Florida Strain, whole genome shotgun sequence.
CCCAGCGGCGAUAGCACGUUGAAUGUACCAGUUCCCAGUGUAUGACUGAAGUUAAGCAACGUUGCACGUGGUUAGUAUCCGGAUGGGUGAUCGUCUGGGCUAUCGCGUGCUACUGGUU